GAACCCAGAUCAGUUCAGAGAGCGCUACGGCGUCCCGAAGCCUGCUUUCCAGGACUCAGACUUUGUGCUGUACUGCCAGAGAGGCAUCCGCAGCCUCACAGCGCUGGAGACCGCCAGAGAUCUGGGAUACAGCAGGGCUCGUCAUUAUGCUGGAGGAUACAGUGAAUGGAUUCAGGCAGAGCCUCAGUAGAUGAAGCUCAUCUCCGCUCUCUGAAGAACUGUGAACAUGAUGAACACUGAACACUUGACUGCUAAAAUGACAACACAGACCAAAAAUGUAUAAUUCAUAAUAUAGCAGAUGUGCAUAUUUUUGGUAUAAAGUAAAAUAUGAAUAAAUAAAUAAUGAAUUUUGCA